rnacentral:tRNA from 1 species
GGCGGGAUGGUGUAAUGGUAACAUACCGGUUUCGUUAAUCGGCGCUGUUGGUUCGAGUCCAGCUCCUGCACCCA